GGUAUCAUGGAGAAGUCUGAUCCAGCCAUCCCGCGUGCAGGAUGACGGCCCUAUGGGUUGUAAACUGCUUUUAUGAGAGAAGAAACGCCUUGUUUUAUAUAGGGUCUGACGGUAUCUCAUGAAUAAGCACCGGCUAACUCCGUGCCAGCAGCCGCGGUAAUUG
rnacentral:rRNA from 1 species